GUCCACUCCCCAAUCUGAUGGGAAAGAACAUUCUGUGGAGUGUUAUAUUCUGCCAUAUGCAGGGUAAAGUCCUAUUAGGUCAGUGCCCUGUGGCACCAGGCUCCAGUAUGCUGGUUCCUUUGGGGUGAAGGCAGUGGAUAAGUCCCUCUGUCCUGUGCUGUGUUGCUGUUUGGGAGAGAUGAUGUGACUCAGCAUUGGCUGAAACAUGAAAGCAAAGCAGGUCCAACGAGAACAGGUUCAUUUUCUUUGCUGAUGGUUGGUGAAUUUGGCAAUUCUGUGCUCAUUUGAUUUACCGGCCUUGGAGGUGAGCUGCGAUGUCCAUAAAGUAGAUCAGAACUGUAGCAAUUUCACCAUGAAAUAAAAUUCAGACGCUCUGUUUAAUCACAGCAUCCAACUGUUUCCUUUUCUCGCCGAAGGGGCUGGCUUUUUGGCUCAUUAUGUGACUGGAACAUGAAGGCUGUGAGGCUGACAAGGAGAGGAAACUCUGUCUCAGCACUUUCCAAUACCCAGCCCCCAACUGGCUUCCUCCCCCACCCCCCAACCUCAAUCCCCCAGCGUUUGCUGCAGAACACUGUCUGCUGCCUAGCAACAGCACCGUGGGCGAUGUCGCAAGGACUCGGACUGUGAAAGGGGAAUAAACAACAGUUCCUGGAUUUGUCUAGGGUUGCAGCUGUGGGAGGCUCAUUGGCCUACCAGCAUCUGUUGGAGAUAUUUUCAGAAACCAGGCUAAUAUACAAAAGACUCCGACUGCAACAUUAAUGAUAAACUCUGUGCUUCUGAUGGGUUUGAAUUUUUCUCUGCAUAGCCAGUGCUCAAUGCCUGACUAGUAGCUGCAACCUGAGAACCCAUUGCUGAAACCUAAACAAAACCUUUGGUGUCAAAAGCAGUUUUGGAAAUAGGAAAUAUUAACCCAGCUCCAGGUAGUAUUAAAAGUCCCGUAUAAAGACAGCAGACAUGUCACAAGAUCUGCAUUUCACCAAACACAAGGGUCUGGACUAGGGUUACCAACUUUGUGAUAUUUAAAAAACGGACACUCCAGCAGUGCAAGAACCUCCCCUGCCCCGCCUCUUUGCCAAGGCCCCACCUCCGUUCGCUCCUCUUCUCCCAUCCCCCUGCCGCUCGCUGCUCAUAGAUUCAUAGAUAUUAAGGUCAGAAGGGACCAUUAUGAUCAUCUGCUCUUCCCCUCUCCAUCUUCUCCCAACCCACCUGGUUUGGGAGGGACUCACCUCCGGAGCUGGGACUGGGAGCUGCAGCUGCCUGACGCAGCUUUGGGCACUAUGGCUUACUGCUGAGACAUUAAAAUCAUUACAGGUCACUGAAGGACAAUGGAGCUAUUUACACCAGGUGCCAUGCUUUCUUCCAUGCUGCGUCUCAAGCAAGGAACCUUCUAAUCCCAGUGCAAAAGAUCCUUCUCUUCUCAUUCAAGACUCACCUCUUCAGUGAGUCCGACACAUUAACCGAUGCCAAUUGUUGCCUUCUUCCCCCUAUUUAUAGUGGAGUGAAAGACAGAAUGGAAAAAUGGAUGACUCCAGGAAGAAGAAAAAAGCCACAGAAAACACUGACACUACGCCCCAUAUUCUUUAUAGAGAUAUUGUUAUGAUAUGAUUAUGGCAUAGCUAUGAUAUAUUUUAUGCAAGAUAGGUCAUGUAAGAUAUCAUUGAAAAGGUUAUGAUUCAUUAAAUAUGAUUGUCCUAUUUGUAUGCAUGUAUCAUUUUGGUAUCUGAAUUUAGGAAUAUUGUCUAUGCAUCUAUUACAAAUGUGUGUGUAAUCAGUCUAGACGGCUGGCUGGGAAGGGCCAUUAGGAAGAACAAUAAGUCUUAGAAGAUGCUAAUCUCCUACCCGGGAGCCUUCCUGAGGAUGCUACAAAUAGCCUCCAAAUCAUGGCUGCUGUUUCCCUACAGGGGCAUGUGACCAAGUCACAUGGUACUGGACUCCAUCAUAGAAUACCAGUGUUCUUUUCCACUGAAAGGCGUGGGAACCAAGCUGGGAGAGAAAGGGUUCCCACCAUAUGCAAAAGCUAUUUAAGGCAGUGGAGUGACAUCAUCAUAGUUCUUCACUGACUCCCCACCCAAAGGAGACUCCUGGAAACACCUGAGAAGCAAGGAUUGAACUGGGGGAAAAGGGCUGAACCCAGACUAGAGGGAUUUCUAGCUUGUGAAAGGAAUAUCUGGGGUUUUAAGCUGCAAUCAAGUACAGCUUGCCCUCAAGAAUCUCUGCAAACUGCCUGAACCAACAAUUAGAGUGAGAAUUUGCUACUCAUAUCCAAUUUCUUUAGUAUAUUAAGCUUAGAUUGCAUUUUUGUGUUAUUUGCUAGGUAAUCUGCUUUGAUUUGUUUGCUAUCCUGUAUAAUCAUUUAAAAUCUAUCCUUUAUAGUUAAUGAUCUUUGUUUUUGUUUUGUCUAAAACCAGUGUGUGAAAAUCAUAAUGGGGGGGGGGGCAGCGCAGAAAGCUGUUGCAUAUUUUCCUCCACAUUGAGGGAGGGGGCGAAUUUCAUGAGCUUACGCUGUACAGUCCCCUGUGCAGCGCAAGAUGGCAAGAUGGUAUAAUUUGGGUUUACACUCCAAAGGGGGGUGCAUGCAUUAGGAACUGGCAGGUGCCUUAGCUGAGCCUUCCUAUGCAGAGCUGAUCUCAGCAUCUAUGUGUAGCUGCAGCUGGGUGUGUCCCUACCUGUAUGUGUGCUGGAGGGGAUUUGAGGGCCUGUCACAGCAGUACAGUGUAAAGGGAGCCCAGGCUGGUGAGUCAGGCAAGCUCAGUAGUACCCCAGUUCCAGGCGGCAUCCUGGGAGGAACCUGUCACAAACACAUUCUAAGGUACCACUUAUUCUAGGUCUACUAGUGUGUUGUGUCUUGUCUUGUCUGUGUUUGCCUUUUAAGCUGUAAAUUCCUUGAAUUGUAUCUCUGCUUUACACAGUGCAGAGACGUGACCAGAGCUUAGCAUAUAAUCAUGCUACCAAGCUGUGUCUUUGAGGUCCUAAUUAUAAUUGCUUUACUUUUAAAUUUAGUUUUUAGCAAUAACCAACACUAUUCAUGUUUGUGUAGCACCUGGCACAUUGGGGCCCUGAUCUUAGCUGAAGCCUACACUCAUGGAAUGCAAAUAGUGAUAAUAAUCAUAUUGUUAUUUUUCUUGCCAUUUCUCAGUCUUCUACAUUGCAUGAAAAAGAAAUGGGACAGUAACGCAGUGUAUCAAUGGUUCUCAUUUAUGUUUGAUAUAGUAUCACAUCCAGAAAAUGUUUCUCUUGAACUUGAGUUUACUACAUUAUUUUUUGUUUCAGUGCCUUUUAGCAGAGGUGACAGUUCAACACCAGCCAGGUCUCUUCCAUAACAGUGGAAUUGGAUAUCACGACAUAAGAACAUAAGAGCAGCCAUACUGGGUCAGACCAAAGGUCCAUCUCGCCCAGUAUCCUGUCUUCCAACAGUGGCCAAUGCCAGGUGCCCCAGAGGGAAUGAACAGAACGAGUAAUCAUCAAGUGAUCCAUUCCCUGUCUCCCAUUCCCAGCUUCUGGCAAACAGAGGUUAGGGACACCAUCCCUGCCCAUCGAUGGCCCUAUCCUCUAUGGAUUUAUCUAGUUCUUUUUUGAACCCUUUUUUUGUUGUUACCUUUCUUUAUGACAGAAGUUCUUUGGAUUCUCCUCUUUUCCUUAAUCAUCUCUCUCUCUCUCUCAGAGCAGUAUCAUCACAAUUUCCCUUGCAAGUUGUCAUUACCUUUGUAAUCUGUUGUGGACUCUCUGAGGUUAUUUAAUAAAUGGUAAAUUUCCACUUGUCAUUUUCAUCACCUGUCAUAGUGGAAGUAUAGCUCUACAUAAUGGUUGGGCUAGCUGGAGUGUUAAUUGAAGGAGGCUUUAGGUAAAUCAUUGUGGGCCAAAUAUAACCUGUAAGCAAACACAAUUCUGUUAACAUCAGUUGGCCAUUCAUGAUAUUGUGGAUGUAGUAGAAUCUUUAUUUGAAAGUAUGUCACUGACCGAUAUAUUUUCUCUCUCAUCGUGCAUUAUUCCCUGUCUUUCAAGGAUGCCAGUUGAUAGAACUUGAGAAAGCUCCUUCUGUUCUGUAUAGUUUCUUAUACAAUACUCAUCACCGUAGAAUUUGAGUGCCUUCCACUAAGCAAUGUGACUAUACAUCUGCUACGUGUUGUCUGGUCUCUCAUCCUCUUGCAGGAGUAGAAGCAAUUGCAAUGUAGUGUCCAUGUAUCAUCCGUGAAUGUCAGUAUUUGAGAAACGUGUCGCUUGAGCUAGAAGCUGCAAUGUAUCCAUUCGAUUUAAUGAUGUUCUAACUUCCAAAGCACUCUUCAAACAAAGCAUGGUUGUUUUCUAGCUAACCGUAUGAGAAGUUCAUAUCUAACCAGCCUAUAUUGUCUUCUUGAGAGAUGGUGGUAAAGGCUCUUCUAAGAAUAAGAUAAUUAAGUGGGUUGCUAAGGGGCCUGAAAUUUACCAUACUUCUUUAUUUAAAAUAUCAAGAAUGAGACUGGGCUUAUAUGCAGAACACUGACACUGCCCUGUGAGGAAAAUGGAAAUUACUCUGAGUUUGUGAUGAAACAUACGUUUUUCUUCUUGCUAAUCAUUAACUAUUCAGUCACAUAUGAGUAUUGCUAAUCCUAUUUGAGAACAAAAAAUGAAUUAUUGGCUACUAGAGCUGGCUGACUAGAACAAAGAGGGACUGAUACAUAUUUUCACGAAUAAUUGUGGCGAGUUCACUUUGCUUUUAAUUAAUUUGUUUACGAGUUGUUCAUAUGAUUAUUGGUUUAUUUGUGAAAAUGUUUGGGAGUCACAAAAGAUUAAUGAAUGAUGAUUCAUUGUAAAAUUUA